AUGGAUUCUCUUGCUAUGCUGACAUGCUGGACCAUUUGGUGCGAGAGAAAUGCGAGGGUCUUUCGUCACAAGUCCACACUUUCGUCUUUGUUGCUUUCAAAGAUUCAGAGUGACGCCAAACUUUGGGUUAUUGCGGGCGCAAAGCGCUUGGGCCAGAUCAUGCCGGGAGAGUAG
rnacentral:rRNA from 1 species